UGUGUGUGUGUGUGUGUGUGUGUGUGUUUUGCAGGUAACAGUUUUUUUUUGUAAUUUUCUUGAUCAAACAUGCAUAAUUUCUCUACUUUCACCGCUGACAGUCGUUAAAAUUCAACAGCCUCUGCUCAUAGAGAGAGGAGAGAGAGAGAGAGAGAGAGAGAG